AUAGCGCACGAUGGUUGUUUUGGAUUUGCCGGUGGCCUCCGCUGCCCCGAUCCGCUCAGUCCCCGUCCGGCGUCCCUGACGCCGCAGUCCGCUCCGUCCCGGUGUCGCCAGUCCGCUCUGUCGCCGCUGCACCUCGCCGGUUCUCUCAUCUGGUUUGCCCAUCGUCCAGGCUUGUUUCUCUUUUGCAUCCCAGUCUCCUCUCAUCUGGUCUCUUUUGCAUCUCGGUCUCUUGCAACUCCGUCCCUCGCCGCUGUCGCCCAUCCCGUCUUCGUGCUCCUUCGCUGCCCCGAGCUCCCGUCUUCGUGCUCCAUCCCUGGGAUCGCCUCCGCUGCCCCGACCCGCUCAGUCCCCGUCCGUCAUCCCCGACAUCACAGUCCGCUCCGUCCCGGCCGCGUCAUCGUCGCAGGCGGCCUGGUGGACGGAGAUGCCUAGGCAGAGCCCGCGGCCGAGGAAGACGGUGGCCUGCACGGCGGCCAGCGACGCCAGCACGCCAGCGCCACUGCCCUACCCCUCCGCGCCGCGCAACGCCGACCCUGGCGCUAUGCAGGAGCUCUUCACCAAGUCGCCCACCAUGUUCUCGACUGAUUGACUGAGCCAGGAAUUUUAGGCACUGAAGCAUAUUUAUCUUUAGUGUAUGUCUAUGUGUGGGGCACUGAAGCGCUGCCAAUCCUCCAGUGGACCGAUGGCUUGUGUUCUACUAGCUUAAAUAAGGGUGCAUGCAUAUAGUUAAGGUCGCUGCUUUUCCUUGCUAUGGAAUGUUGCUUUGCUAAUUUUGUCCAGCUAAUCAAAAUUGAUCCACAUGCUAUUGCGAUUCUUAGUGAUGUCAAAGCUGCUAUGGAUCAUAUGAGUUCGAUUUGAGUGUGUACAUAUUGUGAUCCUAGGAAUCAGAUGAGUUCCAUUUUAGUCACUAAGUUUAGUUUGGAUGUAGGCCUUGUGUUUAUAAUCUAUUGCCUCUUGCUUUCAUGUGCUUUGUCAACUUAUUAUUCAACAGACAAGCAGUAGAGCAGCUGCAUUAUUCUCUGCACAAUUUUGCAGCCUCUCUGUGAACUUAUUAUUCAAUAGCACAAGUAGCAGCACAGCUGCAUUAUUCUCUCCGGAGUUUUGCACCGAAGUAACCUGGGAACGCAUAUAAUGUACUUCACAAUUAAUGGCUUUUGCAUUUUUGCUUUGUGAAUAUUACGACAUGGAGGCUGUCACUUCAAUACUGACUCUAUCUCCAUGCUUUGGUUCUGUUGAACAGUUGCAGUGUGAAGGCUAUAAUUGAGAGAUACAGCUAAGAAGGCACAUCUGGGCCCCACUCUUAGAGCUCAAUGUCCAGGCCAGUAUAGGCGAGCGGUGAGGCGGCUCCGGCUGGCGACAAGGAGCAGUGGACGCUGAGUGGGGAUGAGAAAGAUCCAUUUGCUGAGCCGUGCUUGGGGAGGCAAUCAAUGGGAUUCAAAGUGAGCACCCACCAUUGCAUACCGGAGCAACUUGACGGGUCCCACGCGUCGGUGUGGUGCGCCCGCAUCUGCCGUGGAGGUGCUCAAGCGCCUGCUGAGCAACCUGCUUCAGGAGCCCAGCAGCGACAAGUUUAGGCGGGUGCGGCUGGGCAACCCGCGGAUCAAAGAGGCCGUGGUGGACAGGAGGGCGUGGUGGAGCUCCUUGAGGCCGUCGGGUUCCGGGUCGGGGACAAGAGCAGGGUGCUCUUCGUCAUCAUGGACGAGGUGCUAGCUGGCGACGAGAGGCUCAGCGGGAACAGGAGGGUCGUGCUCUUGAACGAGAGGACACACCACUUGUCGUCGUGCUCAGGUGGAGGCUGACACCAAGGAGAGCUGCAGCAAUGGGGCUGAUGGACAGGACAAUGUUAAGAAGACUGUCGAUUGGCAGAGUUUUGUUAUGCCAACCACUUGCAGCGGGAACUUGGUUAUGCUGCCUGCUAUAAUCACCAGAUGGCAUUAUGUUAGCUGCACAUCAGCCAUUUAUCCCUCAAUUAAGGAUCCAGGCAGACCACGUCGGCCUCCAAAACCUAUAGCUCAAGGUUAAAUCUGAUUUACAUGACCAGCUAACAUAGUAGUACGUGUGGUUUACUAUGGGAGAAGGAAGAUUCCAUGUUUCUUGCAAUUUAACACUAUGGUUUACCAAUUAGUAAUCUCAUAUGUUUCAAAUUAACAACUUUGAUGUACUUUGGCGAGUAUGGAUUCAGAAAAAAAGUAGUCAUCUGGUUAGGAAGUUUCUGAUGUAUAAAUGACCAUAAUUGACAUGGCUGUGCUUCAUAGAUUUUUUUUUUCAACUGCAAAAUCCUAUAUGUAUCUGUGUUUCUUCAUUAGUCUACAGAUAAAAAUGUCCAGCCACAUGGCUCUACGUGAGGAGCCAGAGCAGCAACUCAUCACCCAUUGCCCUGUAGCCUCUACUAAAUUUCUAGGAUUUGUAAUUUUUUACUCAGACAUCUCACUGUGUUUCAAGCAAAGCAAGAUUCUAAGUCUUCUGUACCUGAAGACGUGCAAGCAGUUGCAGGAGCUAGCCUAAGUGUGUGGGAGCAACUGGCUAGGGACAUUUGCAGUUGUAUGGCAGUAUGGCACCAAGGACAAGGAAGCAGCUGGUAUGAAUGGAUAAGAAAUAAAAAGUUUCCUAUGAUAUUGAUUUGGAUGAAAAUGUAUGCUGAACAUAUAGUUGCACACAUGGAUUUUGACUAGCUUUCUUUUCUGAUAAAUAUUGAGCUGCUACUGAUGCUUUUUUAUGUAUCAGUCUUUUUUCACUAUGAUUUGCCCCACCAUGAUGCA